rnacentral:lncRNA from 13 species
CUGGAUCAGGAGGUUCACCUCUAUAGCUCCACUCUGCUCCUCAUGUCUGGACCAGGAGGUUCACCUCUAUAGCUCCACUCUGCUCCUCAUGUCUGGAUCAGGAGGUUCACCUCUAUAGCUCCACUCUGCUCCUCAUGUCUGGAUCAGGAGGUUCACCUCUAUAGCUCCACUCUGCUCCUCAUGUCUGGAUCAGGAGGUUCACCUCUAUAGCUCCACUCUGCUCCUCAUGUCUGGAUCAGGAGGUUCACCUCUAUAGCUCCACUCUGCUCCUCAUGUCUGGACCAGGAGGUUCACCUCUAUAGCUCCACUCUGCUCCUCAUGUCUGGACCAGGAGGUUCACCUCUAUAGCUCCACUCUGCUCCUCCUGCCGGUAACGAUCACACAGUACACGUUACAGUACAAUACGCAGGGCCAGUGUUGUUGAACGCUCAGCAGGUCAUAACGUUAUGGAACGUUCAGAUAGAAAUACAUUAUAUAGAACAUGUCUUUCUAACAUGUAGAAUAAGUUAUCAGGUCCGCUCUAUUCUUGACAUUUCUAUCUGCAAUGUUCCACAUUUGCUUUUUAAGUUGCGUGGGAGUUGACCUGGAAUGGGAAGUGGGCCAUUAUGAAAUGAUUAUGAUCACAACAACAAUAGCCACCACAGCUGCAAUAUGCAAGCAACUUUUUUUUGUGGUAUCCAAAUAGUUUUUUCCAGGCCUGUUUCAUGGGUAAUUGAUUGACAAUGAUGUGGAAAUACUGUUCAGUUGCUGGGACUUCUCAGGUGAUUGCUGAUUGGAUGUUUCCUAAAACCAUUUCCCAGCAGUCUCUUAAUGUAGCUGCUACACCUAGGAUAGUCCUUUACAUGAUGUUUUCUCCAUGAAUCUUUCAGCUUUUCUACUGAUUGUUGCUACUCUGAAACAUCAAUAAGGUGUGGUACUGUCAUUAAAGACAACAUUAAUGUUCUGUAUCCACAGGCGUAAAGAGCCUCAUAGACCAGUCACUUCUAACCUAGCUGUCGUUAAUGGACAUUCCUGUGAAUGUACUGGUAGUUCAGUCGAUGGGUACUGUGUUCUGGUCUGCACAGGUGUGCUGCACAGAUAAGACAUUUAGAAUAACAUUGUGGGUCAAAGGUCAGCUACCAACUUAAAAUACCCAUGUGGCCUAAGAGGUACCAAG